AGCAGCCGCGGUAAUUCCAGCUCCAAUAGCGUAUAUUAAAGUUGUUGCAGUUAAAAAGCUCGUAGUUGAAUUUCGGGAUCAAUAUGUUGGUCGUGCCUUGGUACGUACUGGCAUUAUCGAUUCCUACCUUCUGAAGAACCUCGAUGUCAUUAAUUUGGUGUCUUGGGGAAUCAGGACUGUUACUUUGAAAAAUUAGAGUGUUUAAAGCAGGCUCGCGCUUGAAUACAUUAGCAUGGAAUAAUGAAAUAGGACGUUUGAUUCUAUUUUGUUGGUUUCUAGGAUCGACGUAAUGAUUAAUAGGGAUAGUUGGGGGCAUUAGUAUUCAAUUGUCAGAGGUGAAAUUCUUGGAUUUAUUGAAGACUAACUACUGCGAAAGCAUUUGCCAAGGAUGUUUUCAUUAAUCAAGAACGAAAGUUAGGGGAUCGAAGACGAUCAGAUACCGUCGUAGUC
rnacentral:rRNA from 1 species